GUACACAAAAAAAGCUGGAGAAACUCAGCGGGUGCAGCAGCAUCUAUGGAGCGAAGGAAAUAGGCAACGUUUCGAGCAAUGAAUAUGUGAGGUUUCGGAUCAGGACCAUUCUUUGGAAGAUACAUUGUUUGUUUGCACUGUUGAAUGUACAACCACGAAACCUUUUGGAUUAGAGUACCCUGGCAAGUGUGUCAUUGUGCAUGAUUCAAUGCUAUACGCGAAGAAUAGUUGAAAGGCAAAUUCACCCCGGGAUGUCAAAAACAUAUCCUUACUAAAAUUAAUUACGAGUGAGACAGUGGAAAUUAACAAUAACAUAUACAUCCAACGCCAACGGUCCAGUAUCAGGCGUACUUUCUACAUUUGUAUUUUUGAUGCAAUACCUCCAGGGAUGAAGUGUCUAAAAGAUUAUAUCCCCUUCUAUUGCAGGAGAUGAAUUCUCCAAAGCAAGCUCCGUCAAACAAGACCAAGGAAAUUCGGGGCAAAAUGAUGUGACAGAAGAACUGAACAACUGCCAAAGAUUCUUAAAAGA